rnacentral:sRNA from 13 species
CAAGGAUAGAACCUGAGGAACAGCUUAAUUCCAUGAUUAAUUCACACACCACACAAUGGAUUUAAGAUUUCCUAAGCCUACUGAAAUAAGCAGGCUAGAACUGACUGUACAUAAUGUUUCUGAUAUCUUCUCUGACGAUGAGGACAUAACAAUCUUAUCUGAUGAUGAGGAUAUGUGGGCUUACGCCACCGG